rnacentral:lncRNA from 1 species
GAGCACUACAGGAAAUGCAUGGAGCAGAGGUUUAAGGAAUUGGUAUCAAGCAAAGGCUUAGAUGCUGUCCAAACUGAGGUCAAAGAUAUGGAUUGGGAAAGUACCUUCCAUGUUCGACAUCUUCCCGAAUCAAACAUUUCAGAGCUCCCUGAUCUCAGUGAUGAAUACAGGUUACACAAAACAAACAUUAUGAUAUCAAAACAUUGCAUAACAUUUAUAAUAUUUAGCACAAAAUCAUAAAUAAUUGACACAAAAUUUUCCUCAACAAUUUGAGUUGCAUAUAUGGAUAUGACUCUAAAUUUCUUAUGGUAAUUAUGAUGCAGGAAGGUGAUGAAGGAAUUUUCUUUGAGGUUAGAGAAACUAGCAGAAGAGCUUUUGGACUUGUUAUGUGAGAAUCUUGGACUUGAAAAAGGUUACCUCAAAAAAGCUUUCUAUGGAUCAAGAGGACCAACUUUUGGCACCAAGGUAGCCAAUUACCCUCAAUGCCCUAAUCCAGAGUUGGUGAAGGGUCUUCGAGCUCACACCGAUGCUGGUGGGAUCAUCCUUCUCUUCCAGGAUGACAAAGUCAGUGGCCUUCAGCUGCUGAAAGACGGCGAGUGGGUUGAUGNN